UACGUAGGGGGCAAGCGUUGUCCGGAAUCAUUGGGCGUAAAGAGCGUGUAGGCGGCUCGAUAAGUCUGCUGUGAAAGUCCAGGGCUCAACCCUGGAAGGCCGGUGGAAACUGUCGGGCUAGAGUCCGGAAGAGGCGAGUGGAAUUCCCGGUGUAGCGGUGAAAUGCGCAGAUAUCGGGAGGAACACCAAUGGCGAAGGCGGGUCUCUGGGCCGAUACUGACGCUGAGGAGCGAAAGCGUGGGGAGCGAACAGG
rnacentral:rRNA from 1 species